rnacentral:rRNA from 1 species
GUUAGGAAUAUUGGACAAUGGGCGCAAGCCUGAUCCAGCCAUGCCGCGUGAGUGAUGAAGGCCUUCGGGUUGUAAAGCUCUUUAGCCGAUGAUUAUAAUGACUGUAGUCGGAAAAUAAGCCCCGGCUAACUUCGUGCCAGCAGCCGCGGUAAUACGAAGGGGGCGAGCGUUAUUCGGAAUCACUGGGCGUAAAGCGUGCGUAGGCGGCUUUGCAAGUUGGGAGUGAAAGCCCAGGGCUCAACCCUGGAAUUGCUCUCAAAACUGCAAGGCUCGAAUUCGGGAGAGGAUAGCGGAAUUGUCAGUGUAGCAGUGAAAUGCGUAGAUAUUGACAGGAACAUCAGUGGCGAAAGCGACUUCCUGGACCAAUACUGACGCUCAUGUGCGAAAGCGUGGGGAGCAAACAGGAUUAGAUACCCGAGUAGUCC